UCGCACCUGCCGUGUGCGUGAAGCCGGAACGGGGUUUUGAGCCAACAUGUUGAUAAGAAGGGAACCCUCGUCCAAAUGAUGAGGACGCGGUAGCCUUCGGGCAAGGUGAAAUCAUCUGGCAGGUUCCCACCUGCGUAAGCAGGGUCAAAACCAGCGGCGCACGGCACGGCGGGGACGCC
rnacentral:other from 1 species